rnacentral:pre_miRNA from 1 species
AGUGGGAUAGCUGGGUCAAGUGGUGGUUCCAUUCCAAAUUUUCUAAGGAAUCUCCAUACUACUUUCCAGAGUGGUUGCACUAAUUUGUAGUCCCACCAGUAAU